ACUUGAUUGCACCAUGUAGUGUAGGAACAGAUUAAUAAUGAAUACACUCCUAACUUGGAGUUCCUCUAUCUUCAUUCUAGUUUCCUUUUCACUACUUCCUAAUCCCCUCUAGGUAUUAUAUUUCUGGGUGUUUUAUGUUCUGAAUGUUAACAACUCUUAACUUAUCUGAGUACUUCCACUUGAUUUCUGUGAGACUACUUGAGAAAAGUUAUUCACAUAAUGUACUGUCUACAUCUGGGCCCAUUAUCAUUCCUGGACCACCAACUGUAGUAUGAAAAUCUUUUCAGAACAGAGUUCUCAUUAAUUUCUAGGCAUUUCUGUUUCCAUUUCUAAGUGGAAAAGAUUUCUCUCUGUAUUUUGGACAUCUGGUUAUAGUCUUGGGAAGAAUCUGAAUAUAAAAUUCAUUUCAUGAACUACCAAUCCAAAGGAAAGGGCUGGUUCCAAAAAUCAGACAAAUUGAGUUUUUCCAGUUACAGACUAUCUCGGCCACCCCUCUGAAGCUUUUGAGCAUGAAUCAGGUUUGGCUGGGCAAAAAGUUGUCAGGCCAUGGCCCUUGUGAUGCCUUUCCUCCAUGUCCUAAGAUUCAGCCCAUCUUCAAGUCAGCCUAUUCCAGCCUCACCUCUGGUUUUCCUGGAGUUCUUCACUGCCCUCAACAAGGCAGACUAAUGGCGGAAGGGACAUCUCCAAGGGUGGGAAUAUAGUUGCACAGAGCUGUUGAGCUCUUUUUGCUCUGCCCUUGCCUUCUUUGAGGAUAGCAAGUAGAGGGGAGAGAGGCUCUGCUGAUUUCCAGCAACGCUGAACUUCAUCAGAGGACUGGAGCUUCUCAUGCCAUUGGAAAAUGAGCCAGCAACCCAUCACUCACAAAAAAAGAUGGCUAUACACACAGCUUACAGUGUUUGACUUUGUAACCUUAAUUUUCUCCUUACUUUUUAAUGUAUUGCGUGUGUUUGUAUUUGUGCAUAUUGUGUGUGCAUGUAUUUAAAAAAGUAUUAAAUAGCAGGAACACAUAUACAAGGAUGAUACACAUUUCAGAAUGUGCCCUAAAAGUCAAUACUGCCCAGAAGCAUACGCGGAACAAUUAUGACAAAACUCACAAUGGUUCUAUGCUAUCCCUUUGCUUUGGGAGCAGAUUGCUUCUCUACAUGAUUGCUCAGUUCUGCAGGCUAAUACAUUGAGAAAGUCAAAGCUUUGACCAUCCCUCACUGCUGUUUACAUACCAUUCACUCAUGCAGAUUUGAAGGAUCAAUAGUGACUCCAAAGAAGCUUCUUUACCAUUACUUAUGCUCAUUUUAUGCCUUCUUACUCCUUUGUAUGGUACAGAAGACAAGAGAUAAUCUUGUCCUUUAAUGAAAAAUAAUACUUUUGGAGAAUUUUUAAAAAAUCUGGAUGAUCCUAUAGCAGACAAAUAAUUCUGUUUAAAAAAUGUUCAACAUGGCUUAAAUUCUAUGAUAAGAAUAUUAAUUUAUUAAACUCAAUAGUUAUUUUUAAAUAUAACUUCUAUUCAACCCUAUUGGUUUAAUCCAUUUUAAUAUCCAUAGAACUUUUCAGAAGAGGAAAUAGACUAUAAAGAGAUGUGACAUUAUCUCCUUAACUACCAUUACUGAUUUGUUAUGGCUUUAACAUAUUUGUAAUUAAUUAUCAUUUUACAAUGAUAAUUGUACAAUUAUCAUAUUAUUUUAAAAUAUCAAGAGCCAAAAGUAAUAGGAUAUCAAUAAAUCCAACUGGUUUUAUGUGUAUACAUUAGACUUACACUAUUAUUUUCUUAAUGUAUUAUACUCAACUUUUUUGGCCUUCAUAAUAAACUGUAUUUA